rnacentral:rRNA from 1 species
AUGGAAAAAGUGAAGGGUCCGAAAGCAAUUUGGGAUGCUGCGGCUCAUUCCAUUUAUAUGGAUGUGUGCGUAGAGGAGGUGUGAGCCAAUAACCACGCUCCAGGACACACCACUUUGUCCGAUGUAGGCCAAGUUAAUUUGCUUACUAAGUUUAAUGAGCGCUCCGGGAGAAACUAUUCUCACCAACAAUUAAGAAACCGGUGGGAUGCAUGUAGAAGUGAUUAUGCCAUAUGGAAGACAUUGCUUCAAAAAGCUUCGGGCAUCGGAAGAGAUCCUUAUACAAAGACCAUUGCUGCUACGGAUGAGUGGUGGGCAUUGGAGUUG